UACGGAGGAUGCAAGCGUUAUCCGGAUUUAUUGGGUUUAAAGGGUGCGCAGGUUGUUUGAUAAGUCAGUGGUGAAAGUCUGUCGCUUAACGGUAGGAUUGCCAUUGAUACUGUUGGACUUGAAUAUGGAUGAGGUAGGCGGAAUGUGUAGUGUAGCGGUGAAAUGCAUAGAUAUUACACAGAGCACCGAUUGCGAAGGCAGCUUACUAAUCCAUCAUUGACGCUGAGGCACGAAAGCGUGGGGAUCAAA
rnacentral:rRNA from 1 species